rnacentral:rRNA from 1 species
AUGAGUGACACCAUGCCUACCCGAACCAAGCACAUGGACGAGAUCGCUGAAGAAAUUGACACACUUUGCGAGGAAGUGGGCGUUUUGAGUCACAAGCAGGACCAGAUCCAAGAUCAGAUCGAUCAGGUCAACACAAGGUUGCUUUCUGUCGAGUCCCUGGAAAAGCAAUUGGGAAAGGUCGAGCUAUUAGUGGAGAAGAAUGCAGAAGUUCAGCAAGAAAUUUUCUCCAUCUUGCGCACCAUGCGGUCUGAAAAUCCCAACCCACCCUCCCCUGAGUCCCUUGUUUUAGCAUCAGUGACAACACUGCAAAACCAAAAUCAACAGCAACAGCCAGAUCAAGGAGAGCCACGAGUUGAGCAGCGUCUGCAGCAACCACCAAUUCAGAACAGCAGUACUAAUCCAACAACGCAGUUGCAGGCAAGCCACACGACACAGUAUCAGUCUGACCGUGCUGCCCAGUUUAUGAGGAGCAUUUCCAAAGGGCCUACAUUGGAUUUCCCCUGCUUUAAUGGAGAAAAUCCUUUAGGCUAG